rnacentral:rRNA from 1 species
UAAGCGGAGGAAAGAAACUAACAAGGAUUCCCCUAGUAACUGCGAGUGAAGCGGGAAAAGCUCAAAUUUAAAAUCUGGCGGUCUUUGGCCGUCCGAGUUGUAAUUUAGAGAAGCGUCUUCCGCGCCGGACCGUGCACAAGUCUCCUGGAAUGGAGCGUCAUAGAGGGUGAGAAUCCCGUCUUUGGCACGGAUGCCCGGUGCUUCUGUGAUGCGCUCUCGAAGAGUCGAGUUGUUUGGGAAUGCAGCUCAAAAUGGGUGGUGAACUCCAUCUAAAGCUAAAUAUUGGCGAGAGACCGAUAGCGAACAAGUACCGUGAGGGAAAGAUGAAAAGCACUUUGGAAAGAGAGUGAAACAGUACGUGAAAUUGUUGAAAGGGAAACGCUUGAAGUCAGUCGCGUCGACCGAGACUCAGCCUUGCCUUGGCUUGGUGUACUUCUCGGCCCGACGGGUCAGCGUCAAUUUUGCUCCUCGGAUAAUGGCAAGGGAAAGGUGGCACCUUUACGGGUGUGUUAUAGUCUCCUGUCGCAUGCGAGGGGUGGGAUUGAGGAACUCAGCGCGCACCUUGGUGUCGGGGCAUCUGCCCACGUCACGCGCUUAGGAUGCUGGCGUAAUGGCUUUAAACGACC